rnacentral:lncRNA from 1 species
GUCCAACCUGGGUUGGGUUUUAUGGCUCCAAACUAUGGGUGUGUCACCAUGCAGGAAGUAGUGGGAAAACCGAGGGAGGGGCAGAGGAAAAAAGGAGGGUGGAGAACUGUGUUUAGUGAGUGCCUACUGGAUGCUGGGAGUUGCAUACAGGCGUUACCAUAUUUAAAUUAAACCUUGAGAUGAAGGGACUGAAGGACAGAGAGAAAUUGCAUGCCUGGAGUCUCACUGCUAGUACAUAGAGGUGUUAUCUUCCUUUCAUCUAACAUAUUUAUUGAGCACCUACUAUGUACCAGGCCUUGUGCUAGACUCUGGGGAUAUGGAAAUGAGCAAAGUAGAUGUACCCCCGAAACUUGUGGACUAAUGGAGGAGACGGACCUUAAUCAGAUCGUCAUUCAAAGAUACUAUUACAAACUGUUCUGAGAGCCGAGGAAGCAGGAAGGAGCUGUGAGAGACUGAGCUCUAACCUUGGCCAUCAAAGACAAGCUGUGCAGCUCUGGUUUUUUGAGGGCAGGACAUGGAGGGUCAGGCCCAGCUGGAGGCGCACCAAAGCCCAGAGAAAAUUCAGAACCACGUGAACUUGUUGGAUUUCAGCCCCUUGAAGCACAUGUUGCUAUUGCAGCUGCCUUGAUAACUGGGGGGACAGGAGGAGCACGGCUUUCCCAUCUUGUACGGGGACUCGCCAAUCCAGUUGCCCCUGGAAGAGAAAAGGACCCAGGGAGACAGAGGAGCAUUAGGACUCAUUCAAUCAUUUAGUCAUUCAACAAACACUUCUGGAGCACCUAUUGAACAUCAGGAUUUGUGCCGGCUGCUGUCAGUCCACAGUUCUCAAAAGGCUACUAAUGACUUCAAGAACAUCAGAAUAAUACAAUAGAAAGAAUUUGGAAUUUGGAAUCAAAAGACUGAUUCUUCUGAACCAGCUCUACUACUUGUUGGCUUUGUGACAUUUGGUAAAUUACUCAACCUGCCUGAGCCUCAAUUUCUUAAUUUGUAAAAAGAAUGUCCUCCUAGGGUUCCCCCCUUUUUCCUUCUUUCUUUCAUCUCUUCAAUGAGAUAGUGUGAAAGUAGUUUGUAAAUGAUUAAAGGCUAUGUGACAGUAAAAUGUGGUUAUUAUAUAAUUUUGGAAUUCUAGGGCAGGCACGGUGGGUGGCUCACACCUAUAAUCCCAGCACUUUGGGAGUCCAAGUAGGGAGAUUGCUUGAGGC